rnacentral:misc_RNA from 1 species
GGGGAGUAUUUAGUAGUUUCUGAUUCAAAUUAAGUGAACAUCAGAGUUCCUAUUGACCAUGUAAAGAGAAAUGGUGAAUUUAAAAAUGCUAUGAAAAAAUGGAGCUCUUAGUGUGAUUUUCUAUAGCUAUGUGUUGGUAGGAGUUGCUUGAUUUCAGGGUUAGGGUAAUUAAAUUCAUGUGGAAACAUUGAAACUCUUUGAUGGUGGCAGAUAAACUUGAGCUACUGCAAU